GAUGAACGCUGACGGCGUGCCUAAUACAUGCAAGUCGAGCGAAUGGAUUAAGAGCUUGCUCUUAUGAAGUUAGCGGCGGACGGGUGAGUAACACGUGGGUAACCUGCCCAUAAGACUGGGAUAACUCCGGGAAACCGGGGCUAAUACCGGAUAAUAUUUUGAACUGCAUGGUUCAAAAUUGAAAGGCGGCUUCGGCUGUCACUUAUGGAUGGACCCGCGUCGCAUUAGCUAGUUGGUGAGGUAACGGCUCACCAAGGCAACGAUGCGUAGCCGACCGGAGAGGGGGAUCGGCCACACGGGGACUGAGACACGGCCCAGACUCCUACGGGAGGCAGCAGUAGGGAAUCUUCCGCAAUGGACGAAAGUCUGACGGAGCAACGCCGCGUGAGUGAUGAAGGCUUUCGGGUCGUAAAACUCUGUUGUUAGGGAAGAACAAGUGCUAGUUGAAUAAGCUGGCACCUUGACGGUACCUAACCAGAAGGCCACGGCUAACUACGUGCCAGCAGCCGCCGUAA
rnacentral:rRNA from 1 species